rnacentral:snoRNA from 1 species
CACUUCUACAAAGGUGUGUCUGUGGUUCCCUGUCCUUGGACAUGCAAGAAUUGGAGGCAAAGAGAUAAAGACUUGGAGAAAUCUGGAGCUAACUUGCUCCCCAUAGGCUCAAGAUUACCCUUUCCCACACAU